rnacentral:rRNA from 1 species
UUGCUCUUCUACGUUAGCGGCGGACGGAGUGAGUAACACAGUGGGCUGCCUACCUUAUAGUUUGGGAUAACUCCGGGAAACCCGGGCUAAUACCAAAAAAUCUAUUUUACUGCAUGGUGAAAUACUGAAUUACGGUUUUGGCUGUGGAUAUAAGAUGGGCCCGCGGCGCAUUAGCUAGUUGGUGAGGUAACGGCUCACCAAGGCGACGAUGCGUAGAGGACCUGAGNGGUGAUCGGCCACACUGGGACUGAGACACGGCCCGGACUCCUACGGGAGGCAGCUUUAGGGAAUCUUCCACAAUGGGCGAAAGCCUGAUGGAGCAACGCCGCGUGAGUGAAGAAGGUUUUCGGAUCGUAAACUCUGUUGUAAGGGAAGAACAAGUACAGUAGUAACUGGCUGUACCUUGACGGUACCUUAUUAGAAAGCCACGGCUAACUACGUGCCAGCAGCCGCGGUAAUACNUAGGUGGCAAGCGUUGUCCGGAAUUAUUGGGCGUAAAGCGCGCGCAGGGCUUCCUUUAAGUCUGAUGUGAAAGCCCACGGCUCAACCGUGGAGGGUCAUUGGAAACUGGGGGACUUGAGUGCAGAAGAGGAAAGUGGAAUUCCAAGUGUACCGGUGAAAUGCGUAGAGAUUUGGAGGAACACCUGUGGCUAAGGAGACUUUCUGGUCUGUAACUGACGCUGAGGCGCGAAAGCGUGUCCAGCAAACAGGAUUNGAUACCCUGGUAGUCCAACCUUUACACGAUGAGUGCUAAGUGUUAGGGGGUUUCCGCCCCCUUACCGGUGCAGCUAACCCAUUAAGCUCUCCCUCNGGGGAGUACGCUCGCGCGACUGAAACUCANAGGAAUUGACNGGUGACCUCCACAANCCGCGGAGCACGUUGACNUAAUNCUNACNNACNNNNAAAAACCUUACCAGGUCGUUGACANCCUUNUGACCANUGUANAGAUANUGCUUGCNCUNUCGNGAACACNGNUCACNGGGUG